rnacentral:rRNA from 1 species
GUGAGGAAUAUUGCGCAAUGGCCGCAAGGCUGACGCAGCGACGCCGCGUGAAGGAUGAAGUCCGUUAGGAUGUAAACUUCUUUUGCAGGGGAUGAAAUCCCCGGUCUACGGGGUGUGACCGUACCCUGCGAAUAAGGAUCGGCCAACUACGUGCCAGCAGCCGCGGUAAUACGUAGGAUCCGAGCGUUGUCCGGAAUUACUGGGUGUAAAGGGCGUGUAGGUGGAUCUCUAAGUCGGUGGUGAAAUCCUGCAGCUUAACUGUAGAACUGCUUCCGAUACUGGAGAUCUUGAGUGCGGCAGAGGGAGAUGGAAUUCAUGGUGUAGCGGUGAAAUGUGUAGAUAUCAUGAAGAACACCGGUAGCGAAGGCGGUCUCCUGGUCCGCAACUGACACUGAGGCGCGAAAGCGUGGGGAGCAAACAGGAUUAGAUACCCCAGUAGUCC